AGGUCCGUUUGCCUUCGCAGAGACGGAUCUGACCUAGCCCGAUCCGAUUCGGUUCUGGCGAUCCAUAAUCUGUUUGAUCUGUUUGUGUUACUAUUUGUUACUGUUCACUGUUCUGUUUUAUGUUACUGUCACUAACCAACAAUCGGUACGUUCAUCUUCAGUGUCUCUCUGGCUCGAAGAUCGAUCGAUUUGUUAAGUUUUUUUAGUUUAAUUUUAAUGCUUUUAUAUCUGAUUGUAUUUUUUUUGUCUACAGAUUAUAAAUGACCGUGAAACCGGAAGAUCUCGUGGUUUUGGAUUUGUGACCUUCGGCAAUGAGAAGGCAAUGAGAGAUGCUAUUGAUGGAAUGAACGGUCAGGACCUCGAUGGCCGUAACAUCACCGUGAACGAAGCUCAAUCCCGCGGAAGUGGUGGAGGUGGUGGUGGCGGCGGUGGUUACAACCGCAACAGCGGUGGUGGCGGUUAUGGAGGAGGUGGACGCCGUGAAGGCGGCGGUGGUUACAGCCGUGGCGGAGGCGGCUACGGAGGCGGUGGAAGCGGAUAUGGUAGUGGUGGCGGC
rnacentral:lncRNA from 1 species